rnacentral:rRNA from 1 species
GAUGAACGCUGGCGGCGUGCUUAACACAUGCAAGUCGAACGAAGAAGCCCAGCUUGCUGGGUGGAUUAGUGGCGAACGGGUGAGUAACACGUGAGUAACCUGCCCUUAACUCUGGGAUAAGCCAGGGAAACUGGGUCUAAUACCGGAUAGGAGCGUCCACCGCAUGGUGGGUGUUGGAAAGAUUUAUCGGUUUUGGAUGGACUCGCGGCCUAUCAGCUUGGUGGUGAGGUAAUGGCUCACCAAGGCGACGACGGGUAGCCGGCCUGAGAGGGUGACCGGCCACACUGGGACUGAGACACGCACCAGUAUCCUACGGGAGGCAGCAGUGGGGAAUAUUGCGGAAUGGGCGCAAGCCUGAUGCAGCGACGCCGCGUGAGGGAUGACGGCCUUCGGGCUGUAAACCUCUUUCAGUAGGGAAGAAGCGAAAGUGACGGUACCUGCAGAAGAAGCACCGGCUAACUACGUG